GUGGCACAUAAAAAGUACCAUUUGAGUGUUGGGCCCCAUGGAGGCAGUGAUAAGUGACCAAAGCCCUUGGUGAUAUACUGUGCUCGUGUUGACCUAUCAAGACAAGUGAGACCGUAGUCAUGGUCAAUGGCACGUAAAAAGCACCCACUACACUCACGGA